rnacentral:lncRNA from 1 species
UGGAUGAAUGCGGUCAAAGUGCUUCCAAGCCUCCCCACAAGCAGGAUGCACCAUCUCAUCUGAAUCACCUCCCUUUACAUGCCAUGACAUGUUUUCAGCCGUUCUGCUUGACAUAAAAAGCCUCUGAAGUCUUGGUGUUAUUGGAAGAUAUCGCAACCUUCUAUAAGGAACAUCUUUUCUUCUACCACCACCAUCAUUUCUUCUGAGUUUAUAUCGAGGAUGACCACAAAUAGUACACUCAAUCAAAUUCCCUGUUUCCUUAUAGAAUAGCAUACAAUUAUUCUCACAAACAUCAAUACUUGUAUACUCCAACCCCAACUU